rnacentral:misc_RNA from 1 species
GAUCUUGUCGAUGGCUAAUGCAGGGCCUGGGACGAAUGGUUCGCAGUUUUUUAUAUGCACGGCAAAGACAGAGUGGCUGGACGGAAAGCACGUGGUGUUUGGGAGAGUGGUGGAAGGGAUGGAUGUAGUGAAGUCCAUUGAGAAGGCUGGAUCUUCCUCUGGAAGGACCUCGAAGCCCGUUGUUAUUAGUGAUUGUGGGCAGCUUGCUUGAAUCAAGCUCUUGUGUUGCUCUUUCUGUUAGCCUUUGGGCCUGUUACUACUGGCUAACUGCAAGCUGCAGACUGCAGUUCAUCUUUUCUCGUGUAUUUCACUAUUUCAGUGUUUCCCUUGCUUCUUCUGUUU